GAUGAACGCUGGCGGCGUGCCUAAUACAUGCAAGUCGAGCGAACAGAUGAGGAGCUUGCUCCUCUGACGUUAGCGGCGGACGGGUGAGUAACACGUGGAUAACCUACCUAUAAGACUGGGAUAACUUCGGGAAACCGGAGCUAAUACCGGAUAAUAUAUUGAACCGCAUGGUUCAAUAGUGAAAGACGGUUUUGCUGUCACUUAUAGAUGGAUCCGCGCCGCAUUAGCUAGUUGGUAAGGUAACGGCUUACCAAGGCAACGAUGCGUAGCCGACCUGAGAGGGUGAUCGGCCACACUGGAACUGAGACACGGUCCAGACUCCGACGGGAGGCAGCAGUAGGGAAUCUUCCGCAAUGGGCGAAAGCCUGACGGAGCAACGCCGCGUGAGUGAUGAAGGUCUGCGGAUCGUAAAACGCUGUUAUUAGGGAAGAACAAAUGUGUAAGUAACGAUGCACGUCUUGACGGUACCUAAUCAGAAAGCCACGGCUAACUACGU
rnacentral:rRNA from 1 species